rnacentral:rRNA from 1 species
AGUGAACGCUGGCGGUAGGCCUAACACAUGCAAGUCGAACGGCAGCACAGGAGAGCUUGCUCUCUGGGUGGCGAGUGGCGGACGGGUGAGGAAUACAUCGGAAUCUACUCUGUCGUGGGGGAUAACGUAGGGAAACUUACGCUAAUACCGCAUACGACCUACGGGUGAAAGCAGGGGACCUUCGGGCCUUGCGCGAUUGAAUGAGCCGAUGUCGGAUUAGCUAGUUGGCGGGGUAAAGGCCCACCAAGGCGACGAUCCGUAGCUGGUCUGAGAGGAUGAUCAGCCACACUGGAGAUGAGACACGGUCCAGACUCCUACGGGAGGCAGCAGUGGGGAAUAUUGGACAAUGGGCGCAAGCCUGAUCCAGCCAUACCGCGUGGGUGAAGAAGGCCUUCGGGUUGUAAAGCCCUUUUGUUGGGAAAGAAAUCCAGCUGGCUAAUACCCGGUUGGGAUGACGGUACCCAAAGAAUAAGCACAGGCUAACUUCGUGCCAGCCGCCGCGGUAA